UACGGAGGGUGCAAGCGUUAAUCGGAUUUAUUGGGCGUAAAGGGCGCGUAGGUGGGGAUAAAAGUCAGGUGUGAAAGCCCGGAGCUCAACUCCGGAACAGCACCUGAAACUCUAUUUCUUGAGGGUAGACGGAGAAAACGGAAUUCCACAUGUAGCGGUGAAAUGCGUAGAUAUGUGGAAGAACACCAGUAGCGAAAGCGGUUUUCUAGUUUAUACCUGACGCUGAGGCGCGAAAGCUAGGGGAGCAAAC
rnacentral:rRNA from 1 species